rnacentral:lncRNA from 1 species
UAGAAUGCUUGGUUACUAUUUGUGGUGUUUAUCUCCUUUUAUUGUAGUUGAGUAGCAUUUCUCUUGUAGGCACAGAAAAUGGGUAAUAACUGAAGACAACCUCACAGCAGGACAGUGAGAUCAGAUUGGCAAUGCAUCAGUGAGUGGCAUGAUUGAAGACAAGACAAAAAGCAGCCUACAGCAAAAGGUGCAAACUUCAUAUUUUCUCCCUGAAACUAGG